rnacentral:rRNA from 1 species
GUGGGGAAUCUUAGACAAUGGGCGCAAGCCUGAUCUAGCCAUGCCGCGUGAGCGAUGAAGGCCUUAGGGUUGUAAAGCUCUUUCGUGGGGGAAGAUAAUGACUGUACCCCAAGAAGAAGCCCCGGCUAACUCCGUGCCAGCAGCCGCGGUAAUACGGAGGGGGCUAGCGUUGUUCGGAAUUACUGGGCGUAAAGCGCACGUAGGUGGACUGGAAAGUCAGGGGUGAAAUCCCGGGGCUCAACCCCGGAACUGCCUUUGAAACUCCCAGUCUUGAGUUCGAGAGAGGUGAGUGGAAUUCCGAGUGUAGAGGUGAAAUUCGUAGAUAUUCGGAGGAACACCAGUGGCGAAGGCGGCUCACUGGCUCGAAACUGACGCUGAGGUGCGAAAGCGUGGGGAGCAAACAGGAUUAGAAACCCCAGUAGUCC